UACGGAGGGCUCAAGCGUUGUUCGGAAUCACUGGGCGUAAAGCGCGUGUAGGCGGCUCUGCAAGUCGGGUGUGAAAUCCCGAGGCUCAACCUCGGAACUGCACUCGAUACUGCUUGGCUCGAGUCCCGGAGAGGGUGGCGGAAUUCCCGGUGUAGGGGUGAAAUCCGUAGAUAUCGGGAGGAACACCAGUGGCGAAGGCGGCCACCUGGACGUUGACUGACGCUGAGACGCGAAAGCGUGGGGAGCAAACAGG
rnacentral:rRNA from 1 species